UUCCCAAACCAAGCUCCCUCUUCCUUUCCUUCCUUCUUCUCUCUCCCUCCCUUGGACUCUUUGUCUUCUUCCUUCUCUUCUUCUUCUUUCCUCUUCUUUGGUGUUGCUUGCUACCUUGUUUUUCCCUCAUCAAAUAUAGGGAUCUAAUUAUGGGAGCAAGCAUCAGCAUUUUGGAUUCGUGCAUAGAGGGGAGGCCAAUCUGUAGAAGGUGGAUAGCUCCUUGGAUUAGUAAAUCUAUAGUGAUAUUUUGUAUAAGAAUGAUGUAAAAGGUGUGGGAAAUACCAAGUGUAAUAGUUAGUUAUUUUGAUAACUAAAAGUAUAUUAUCUUUUAUAUUAUA